rnacentral:lncRNA from 1 species
UCUACUAGCUCAGGCCCUGCCAAGGCCUUCUCUCCUACUUCUUCCCAACAGAUGGGUGAUCUGCACUUCCUCCCAUACAAAGCUUCAUAUGGAGCCAUCCCGAUGCUAGCAUGAUAGCUGUUAUUGUAGGCGAACUCCACCAAGGGUAGAUGUUGCCUCCAAGAACCGCCAAAAUCUAGCACACACAUUCUGAGCAUAUCUUCUAUUGUCUGGAUGGUCC